CCAUUAUCAAUCCCUUUUGUCUUCGCGAUUUUUCCUCCGUUGACGAUCAAAUCGUCGUCGUCUCGAGAUGGGUUCUGAGGAAUUUCGUGCUCCGUUGAUAAUUUCCUUCUUGGGUUUAUGGGGGAAUUCGAAGCGGAAUUCACUGCUGUCGAGAACUGAAACUGGGCUUAAUUCAUCGGAGCUACACUCUGAUUCUACUUUUCUUGUUGGUUUUCUUCCAUGGCGGUCCUUCGUUGAAAUUCUGGAGUAUUUGUAGAGAUGCUCCACAGAGUUCAUAGAUUGGCUCCUCAAUAGCGAAUUAUGAUUCUGCUUCAUUUCUGGCAUGGAAUCCAAACCCAUUAGUCUGGCCACAAUUCCAGCAGUUGCUUUUGUCUCGUUUGUUGAUUUGACGACAUUCAAAUCCUUGGCAUGAAGAACCUUGUCAUCAGACUUCACUGAGCUAGUUUCUUCUGUGAUGUGAUCAGUUGGGUGCGUUGGAAGACUACCGGAGCAGAGAAUUCGGCGGAGAAUACCCGAAAGACAGCUGGGUGUAGCUGCUGCAGCUCUGGGGUUGCAGACAUGAGCAUCAAAAGUAGAAGAGGAGAAGGAAGAAGAAGAAGAACAAGAAGGAGAAGGCAACAACUUCAUAUUGAGUUGAGCUGAAAAUGGUGACUGCUGUUUGCUUUUAUUCAAACUACAGACCAACAACUGGGAGUGAAACAUUAAACUGCCAAUACAAUAUUGGUCCAGAAGAUUAUGCACAUGUCCAAACCGACCACCUCUGAUUCUCAAGGUGAUGUCUAAAGAUCUCAAAGGGGAGAGCAGCUCGGAAUAACUUGGAUUUUCUGGGAUAUUGAAUGUCUCCAUUGGAUUGUUGAGAGCUAUGUAGAGGAGGGCUUGGUUACAUAUAGUUCAUGAUCAUCAAGGUUUGGCAAUUUUGUGUGACUUUGCAUAUUUGCCGAGAGGAAGGUGGAAUUAAUGAACUAGCUAGAAGUGGAGGUUAUUUUGGAGGGUUUAAAAGAGAUUGAUCAAGACUAACGAGGAUCCAAUCCAUCUUUGGAGGUUGAAUUUCUUUUGCUUGAUAUUGGAAUCUUUCUUGAGGAAGUCCGUUAAAGCCCCUUUACUUUUGUCAUAUUUACAAGAUAGAGAAUGUGAAAGGAGGGAGGAGAAAAAGAAGGAAAAGAGGAAAACGCUUUCGGUGAAUGGUACAAAAGAAUUAGAAACCUCCUAUACUCACUUUCAUGCUUUCGGUUUAAAUAUUAAAAAAAAUGUUUUUUUUUCUUCUUUUUGAGAAAUCAAUUAUAUUGUCUUUCAAAUUUUUA